GGAGCUCAGUCCACUGCCUGUGAUGCUCUUGCUGAUUUCACUCAUACCAGUGGUCCAGGCUCAAGAUCAAACCAAAGGAGGCUGCAACAUCAGAUUUGAAUAAAUAAAUUUACACUCAAAUAUUUUUAUGCUGCUUAAAUUUCUAAACAUAUUAAAUAUAAAAUAGCACAAGUUUAACCCUCCUGUAGUCUUCCCUGCUUUUCUGUGCAAUUUAGGAGCACGGAGUCAAACUGAC